GAUGAAGAACGCAGUGAAAUGCGAUAAGUAAUGUGAAUUGCAGAAUCUCGUGAAUCAUCGAAUCUUUGAACGCACAUUGCGCCCUAUGGUAUUCCGUAGGGCAUGCCUGUCUGAGCGUCAGCUCCCACCCCCUCAAGUCCUUUUUUUUUUUUCUCUUUUAAAAAAAAAGGAGUUUGGAUUACUUUGAGGAAGUGUCACCAAUGGUGCUGCUCCUCAGAAAUUUAUAGGCAGUAUGGUCAAACCUGAACCAGGCGUAAUAAUUCUAUAAAGUCGUCUAACAAGGGAAUGUCUGUAUUAGCCUUCAACCCAUUGAUAUUUACUUGGGUGACCUCAGAUCAGGUAGGGAUACCCGCUGAACUUAAGCAUAUCAAUAAGCGGAGGA
rnacentral:misc_RNA from 1 species